GACGAACGCUGGCGGCGUGCCUAAUACAUGCAAGUAGGACGCAGUUGCGAACGGGUGAGUAAUGCGUAGGUAACUGCCUAUUAGAGGGGGAUAACUAUUGGAAACGAUAGCUAAUACCGCAUACUAGUAGAUUGACCUGCGUUGUAUUAGCUAGUAGGUAGGGUAAUGGCCUACCUAGGCGACGAUACACAGCCGAGUGGAGGGGGUGAGCGGCCACACUGGGAAUUGUAAACGGCCCCGAAUCCCUCGGGAGGCAGCCGUAGGGGAACUUCGGAAAUGGGGGGAAACCUGGCCGAGCAACUGCGGGUGAGUGAAGAAGGUUUUCGGAUCGUAAAGCUCUGUUGUGAGGGAAGCGGUACUUAACCAGAAAGGGACGGCUAACUACGUGCCAGCAGCCGCGGUAAUAC
rnacentral:rRNA from 1 species